rnacentral:tRNA from 1 species
AGUCAUUUAGCUUAAUGGUUAGAGCACUCAACUGGUAUUUGAAGGGUGUGGGUUCAGUCUCAUAGCCACCU